GACGAACGCUGGCGGCGUGCUUAACACAUGCAAGUCGAACGGUGACCUUGAGAGCUUGCUCUUGGGGGAGCAGUGGCGAACGGGUGAGUAACACGUGAGUAACCUGCCCCUGACUCUGGAAUAAGCGCUGGAAACGGCGUCUAAUACCGGAUACGAGAUGCCACCGCAUGGUGAGUGUCUGGAAAGUUUUUCGGUCUGGGAUGGACUCGCGGCCUAUCAGCUUGUUGGUGAGGUAAUGGCUCACCAAGGCGAUGACGGGUAGCCGGCCUGAGAGGGCGACCGGCCACACUGGGACUGAGACACGGCCCAGACUCCUACGGGAGGCAGCAGUGGGGAAUAUUGCACAAUGGGCGAAAGCCUGAUGCAGCGACGCCGCGUGAGGGAUGACGGCCUUCGGGUUGUAAACCUCUUUCAGCAGGGAAGAAGCGCAAGUGACGGUACCUGCAGAAGAAGCACCGGCUAACUACGUGCCAGCCGCCGCAGUAAAAC
rnacentral:rRNA from 1 species